UUGUUUUGGAUCGUCUGAAGCUUUGCCAUUUGCAUGUUUGAAGUCAGUGGCCCCCAGACUGGCAUGGCAUACUGCCAUAUUGGGGCAAUCAGCUGCUUAUAGAGGAGGACCUUUGGAGGUAGUGGGAGUUUGCUGUUUCUGCCGAUGAUCCAGUCGAGCUUUUUGAUCCGGGCCCUUGUUUUAGUGACAACAGCCGCUACGUGCUUAUUGAAAUUGAGCUUCGUAUCCAUCUGUAUUCCUAGGUAUGGCAUUACGGGUUUUUUGGCCAGGAGUUGCCCGGCUAACCUUGGAGCUGGAGUGUGUAGCUGCACAGCCCAUGAUAAUGCAUCAGCCAGGAGCCGCUCCACAUUUUCGUUGGCUUGUUUUGGACUUGGGGCAGAUACGAGGUAUACUGCGUCAUCAGCGUACGUUGCUAGCAUUUGGGUUGAGUUUGCGUGUCUUGGUGGCUGCGGCAUGUCGGCAGUGUAAAGAUUGUAGAGUACUGGGCCAAGUACGCUUCCUUGCGGCACUCCAGCGGUUAUGUGCUUUAGGCUUGAGGUGAUGUUGUUGCAGCAGACGACUUUGAAGCUUCUGUCUGAGAGAUAGCUGAGAAGACCCUGAUGCCAGACUCUAUCAAAGGCCUCCUGGAUAUCCAUGUACACAGCACUGCAAUGCCGCUGCGCUUCGUAGGAUCUGAGGAUGAAUUGCGUGACUCGUCCGAUUUGCUGUUCCGCUGAGUGCUGACUUCUGAAGCCAAAUUGAUGGUUUGGAAUAGCCAUGGCAAAGCUUUCUUCGUCAAAAAGUCGUUUGAGGAUGAGGCGUUCAAGGAUUUUGGAGAAGCCUGUAAGCAGGCUGAUGGGACUUUGGGAAGUGGCCGAACUGCAGAGCCGAGUUGCAUAUCAACAGCAGAUACUCGAUGGCGGAUGUUGGCAGAGAUUUAAUGACGCGAUUGUCGAUACUGUCGAAACCGGGUGCCUUUUUCGUCUUGAGCUUCUUAAUUUCCGAUUUGAGUUCCUGGAUGGUCACAGGUCUGCCGUGAUCUUUGGCGUGAAACGUGCUUCCAGGUGCUGCGCAAAGGCCUCAGCUUUUUCCUCCGUAGUUUUGCACCAAGGAUCAGCAGGAGCUUGCUGCCCUUCCGCAACGUGCCUUCUGACUGGCAGAUUUGGGAUGGGCUGUCUCUUGAUUGUGUUGGUGGAGUAUGCGGCCGUGGAGAACAUCAUUACGCCUAUUGGUCUCUUCGUCGGCUGCGAAGUGGAAUCCUUGCGAGUGUCGGCGCUAAACUGGGACUGCAGGACAGCAUCAACAGGGCUGAAGCUGGCCGAGGUCCAGUGCAUCGUCAUUCUGGAUUUUCUUUUCAGCCGCCGCCAUCAUCUGGAUUCUGGAGCUGCCGCCGUCCAUCAUCAGGUUCUCUGCUGGGGCCGUCAUUUGCCUGCGUAGCAGCUGCAUUAGCGCUACUGCGGCUGAUUUCCAUAUUGUGUGUUGCAAACGGAUUGCGCAGCCAGUUCUCGCGUCUGACUUGGAGCAAUAUUGUUUGGAUGGCUGUCAGGCUUCUGUUGCUGUUUGGAUUGUGCUCUUCUAUCAUUGCGGCAUACCUUGGCCUGGCCAGCCUUCUUGGAAUGUAUGGUUGCUACUUGGAGAUCCGCAUGCAGUGCGUUGUUGCUCGCAUACCAGGGAGCAUUUGUCAUUGCUCUGAGAGCUUUGUUUUGGAUCGUCUGGAGCUUUGCCAUUUGCAUGUUUGAAGUCAGUGGCCUCAGACUGGCAUGGCAUACUGCCAUAUUGGGGCAAUCAGCUGCUUAUAGAGGAGGACCUUUGGAGGUAGUGGGAGUUUGCUGUUUCUGCCGAUGAUCCAGUCGAGCUUUUUGAUCCGUUUUUUUUCGAGGUA